AUAAAUUCUUAUAAGAUGAAGAUUACCUCAGUGACAUUUGCACAAAUUAUUCUUCAUCUUCUCCUAAUUUCUUGGUCACUAAAAUAUCAUUUGACAAGUUUGAGAGAAAAUUUUGAUUGGACAUUGUAUCUUCUCUUGCAUUAGGAGGUAACUAAUUUAAUUUUUAAUGUUUAAUAUUAAUUUACAUAGUUUAUAACUAUGACUUUCAGUUUCUUAAUAUUAAUUAAAUUCUAACUAUUGUCAUAAUUUUUUUUUAUUACAAGAAAUUAAGUACAUGAUUUUAUAAUUAUUG
rnacentral:misc_RNA from 1 species